UGCAAAGGUUUGCAAAGGCCCUUGUUUUGCUUGUUCCUACAGGUGAGGCUGAAACUGACCCCCAAGACUUCCACAAAGAGAGGAGUCCUGUUCACUUCAUGGAAUGAUCUCAUUAUUUAAACAAACAUAAAUGGACAUCUGGCAAAAUCAAACUGAAUGUGACUCAUAUGCAAAUGUGAUCACUAUGAAUAACACAUAUUAGAAAUGGAGCAUUCAUGCAACCAAACCCAACUGUUCUAAUUCUGUAGAUACUGAAAAAUGUGUUGAUCCAGAUUUGCAACAUUAAAGGGAGAUUCUUCUACCUCAGA